rnacentral:rRNA from 1 species
GACGAACGCUGGCGGCGUGCCUAAUACAUGCAAGUUGAGCGCUGAAGGUUGGUACUUGUACCAACUGGAUGAGCAGCGAACGGGUGAGUAACGCGUGGGGAAUCUGCCUUUGAGCGGGGGACAACAUUUGGAAACGAAUGCUAAUACCGCAUAAAAACUUUAAACACAAGUUUUAAGUUUGAAAGAUGCAAUUGCAUCACUCAAAGAUGAUCCCGCGUUGUAUUAGCUAGUUGGUGAGGUAAAGGCUCACCAAGGCGAUGAUACAUAGCCGACCUGAGAGGGUGAACCGCCACAUUGGGACUUGGACACGGCCCAAACUCCUACGGGAGGCAGCAGUAGGGAAUCUUCGGCAAUGGACGGAAGUCUGACCGAGCAACGCCGCGUGAGUGAAGAAGGUUUUCGGAUCGUAAAACUCUGUUGGUAGAGAAGAACGUUGGUGAGAGUGGAAAGCUCAUCAAGUGACGGUAACUACCCAGAAAGGGACGGCUAACUACGUG